AAUGGAAAAGGUUCAUAUAUGCUAGUGAACUAUGCAGAUUAGGACAGAUAUGCCCAUCGUUAAUAGUUUGGCACAAAUAUGCCCAAUCCGUUCAAUACUUGGUCAUUCAUGCCCUUAGUUUAACGGAACUACUAUUUUGUGUACUUAAAUAAUUAAUACCCUGACCCAACCAAAAUAUGCGGACCCGAUCUAUUAGGCUUUGACCCAACCUUAUUUCAAAGAUAUUUUUGGAUAUAUUACUUUUUUUUGAUUGAGAAAUUAUGUGAUAAUCAUAUUUAUUUAUUUUAGUAAUUUGAUAAUUGAUUUGUUUUUUGUUAUACAUCAUUUCUGGAAGUAAUCCUACUAAAAGUAGUAAUUGAUAUUUAUCUAUUAUUAUUAUUAUUAUUAUAAUAUAAUAUUCGAAUAUUUUUUGUACUUUCUUCAAUCAUUUUACCAUCUAUUUUAUUUUUCUCACAAUUUAUUUGUAUUUUUAACCCAUCCGUUUUUAUUAAUUAAUUAUUUCAUAAAUAAAAAUACACAGCCAAUCCUGUAUCAAUCAGAACAGUCUGUAAAUGUUUAUUUCAUGUUUGUUGCGUCUCAAUUAUGACUAGCCAAUCCUGUAGGAGAAUUAUUCAUCCACUCGUUUGGCUGCAGCAACGUUCACGAAAACAAAUUGAAUGGAAUGAUUCCACCUGCCUUUCAGAAGCUCGAAAGCAUGACUUAUCUGUAGACUAUAAGUUCUUACUCUCUGGUUUAACGUCAACAACGUUAAAUUAUGUAUUUUUAUUUAUGAGAUAAUCAAUUAAGAAAUAAGGAUUGAUGAAAAAUACAAAUAGUUUGUGUGAAAUAUAAAAAAUAGAUAGUAAAAUGAUCGAAUAAAACACAAACUAAUUCGAAUAUUAUGUUAUUAAAAUAAUAAAUAAAUAUCAAUUACUACUUUUAGUAGGAUUACUUCCCGAAAUAAUGUAUAACAAAAAAAAAUCAAUAUUCAAAUAAAUUAAUAUGAUUAUCACACAAUUUCUCAAACAAACAUAAUAUGUCAAAAAGAUUUUUGAAAUAAGGGUGGGUUGGGUCCUAACGGAUCAGGUCAGCACAUUUUGGUUGGAUCCGGUUAUUAAUUAUUUAAGAAAGACAAAAUAGUGGUUCCGCUAAACUAAGGGCAUGAAUGACCAAGUAUUGGACGUAUUGGGCAUAUAUGUGCCAAACUAUUAACGACGGCAUAUCUGUCCUAAUUCGCAUAGUUCACUAGCAUAUAUGGUCCUUAAGGGGAUUUGACUUUAUAUAGUAUUAAAAUAUGAGAGAAACAAGUGUAAUUUUCUGCUGUUGGUUAAAGGUGGCUACGCCACUAUACUUUACAACAACAACAACAAAUUUAGUGUAAUCUCACAGGUGAAGGGAGACUGUUUCUUAUAGACCCUUGUCUCCCUCAUGACUAUAGAAUGUUGUAUGGCCUCUAGAAUAUUUUACUUCUUCCCUCUCCCCCUUCAUGUGGUAUUAUUCACUUUUUUCUGACAAUUAUGUUUGGUUUAUUACAAGAUUAAUACCAAUGUAUGUUGCUCCUGUUGUAGCCUAACUUGGCUACUCUGAAGUUUAACUAGCUAGAAUAAAUCCGUAGAAGGCCUUCAAAGCGAAAACCAUAUAUUUUCUUGACAGACUUAAAGUUUUAUAAGCAGAAAAGUGUAAUUUGUUUUUUUACAGUAUUAGGUCUUUUAAAAGGCAACUACAUGUAAAUUGUGUAUGUUAUCGAUUGUCCGUGUUCAAAGCAACGAGAAACUGGAAACCAGUAAGAAGAAGAG
rnacentral:lncRNA from 1 species